UACGUAGGGUGCGAGCGUUAAUCGGAAUUACUGGGCGUAAAGGGUGCGCAGGCGGUUCUGCAAGUCCGGCGUGAAAUCCCCGGGCUUAACCUGGGAAUGGCGCUUGAAACUACGGGACUGGAGUAUGGCAGAGGGAGGUGGAAUUCCACGUGUAGCGGUGAAAUGCGUAGAGAUGUGGAGGAACACCGAUGGCGAAGGCAGCCUCCUGGGCCAAUACUGACGCUCAUGCACGAAAGCGUGGGGAGCAAACAGG
rnacentral:rRNA from 1 species